AGCGGCGGACGGGUGAGUAACGCGUGGGUAACCUGCCCUGUACACACGGAUAACAUACCGAAAGGUAUGCUAAUACGGGAUAACAUAAGAAAGUCGCAUGGCUUUCUUAUCAAAGCUUUUGCGGUACAGGAUGGACCCGCGUCUGAUUAGCUAGUUGGUAAGGUAACGGCUUACCAAGGCGACGAUCAGUAGCCGACCUGAGAGGGUGAUCGGCCACAUUGGAACUGAGACACGGUCCAAACUCCUACGGGAGGCAGCAGUGGGGAAUAUUGCACAAUGGGCGAAAGCCUGAUGCAGCGACGCCGCGUGAGCGAUGAAGGCCUUCGGGUCGUAAAGCUCUGUCCUCAAGGAAGAUAAUGACGGUACUUGAGGAGGAAGCCCCGGCUAACUACGUGCCAGCAGCCGCGGUAAUACGUAGGGGGCUAGCGUUAUCCGGAAUUACUGGGCGUAAAGGGUGCGUAGGCGGUCUUUCAAGUCAGAAGUGAAAGGCUACGGCUCAACCGUAGUAAGCUUUUGAAACUGUAAGACUUGAGUGCAGGAGAGGAGAGUGGAUUCCUAGUGUAGCGGUGAAAUGCGUAGAUAUUAGGAGGAACACCAGUUGCGAAGGCGGCUCUCUGGACUGUAACUGACGCUGAGGCACGAAAGCGUGGGGAGCAA
rnacentral:rRNA from 1 species